CCUUCUUCUCAGUUGCCAAUCAAUCUAUUCUUUUAUUCUUCUUCUCCUCCUGAGCUCAGAUGAGAACAGGUCAUGACACUAAUCAUGGUAAAUUCAUCACUCCCUAAAUCUGCAAAAACAGCAAAUUGCCACUCUCGUUUCUUCAAGAACAAUAUCGUAAUUGGACAUGGCUAUAUCCCAGCUGUUCAAACAUUAUCCUGCUGUCAAGCUCCCAUGAACAGUCUCUCUGGGCUCAUCACGCGGCAUGCAUCAUCCUAGCUUCAGUCGUUCUUCGAUCGCUUCUGUGUUCUUCCUCUGCCAUCGCAUGCACGUUGGGAUUGGCUUUCAAAGUUCAGUGGUUUAUCCCCUCUUCUAGUGUCACAUGCGCCUCUAGUACUCCACAGAGGAAGAGAAUACAGCUGGUCCAGGACGAAAUGGAAAUCCUGUUGAUUGCUGCCGCUUUUGUAAGAUUGUUCGAUUUAACAAAUUCCUUGAUUUUGUUAACUUUACUUUUGAAUUUCUUAUCUUUUAAUUUCUUAGCUUUGGUUUUUAUUGUGUUAGUUUUGAUUGUGCUUUUGUUUUCUGAUUGUUUGCAUCCUGUUGUGUAAUCUGGAUACCAGAGAGAAUGGUUGAAUCGACCGACCGAACCAAACUGAAUAAAUAAACAUCAAAUCAAUUUGAUUUGAUUUGUUUUUAUGUAUAA